AACCUCUCCGGUGGCCUAGUGGUUAGAGCGUCCGCCUCACAUGCUGGAGGUCGUGGGUUCGAUCACCGGUCGAGUCA